rnacentral:rRNA from 1 species
GUAGGGAAUAUUGCGCAAUGGACGAAAGUCUGACGCAGCGACGCCGCGUGAGUGAUUAAGGCCUUAGGGUCGUAAAGCUCUGUUGAAUGGGAAGAAAAAAAUGACGGUACCAUUCGAGGAAGGACCGGCUAACUUCGUGCCAGCAGCCGCGGUAAUACGAGGGGUCCUAGCGUUGUUCGGAAUCAUUGGGCGUAAAGGGUGUGUAGGUGGCCAUGUAAGUCAGGUGUGAAAGCCCCGGGCUCAACCCGGGAAGUGCACUUGAUACUGCGUGGCUUGAGUACCGAAGAGGGUAGUGGAAUUCCAGGUGUAGUGGUGAAAUACGUAGAUAUCUGGAGGAACACCGGUGGCGAAGGCGGCUACCUGGUCGAGUACUGACACUGAGACACGAAAGCAUGGGGAUCAAACAGGAUUAGAAACCCCGGUAGUCC